rnacentral:misc_RNA from 1 species
GAUGAAGAACGUAGCGAAAUGCGAUAAGUAAUGUGAAUUGCAGAAUUCAGUGAAUCAUCGAAUCUUUGAACGCACCUUGCGCCCUUUGGCCAUUCCGAAGGGCAUGCCUGUUUGAGUAUCAUGAACACCUCAACUCUUUAUGGUUUUCCAUGAUGAGCUUGGACUUUGGGGGUUUUGCUGGCCUAUGGUCGGCUCCUCUAAAAUAAAUCAGCUUACCGGUAUUUGGUGGGUAUCAUGGGUGUGAUAACUAUCUACGCUUGUGGUUUUUCCACCAGGUAACCUUCGACAGCGGAGGUUCACUGGAGCUCAUAGAUGUCUCUCCUCAGCGAGGACAGCCCUUUGAAUGUUUGAUCUCAAAUCAGGUAGGACUACCCGCUGAACUUAAGCAUAUCAAUAAGCGGAGGA